rnacentral:tRNA from 1 species
UCCCUGAUGGCUCAGACAGUAAAGAAUCUGCCUGCAAUGUAGGAGAUCCAGGUUCAAUCCCUGGGUUGGGAA